AGCAGUAUGUUGCUGUUUUCUUACAGUUUUUGAAAUGACUUAGACAAAUUUAACAUUUUUUUACUGUUUUUAUCACACUAAUGUAAAAAAACAGCAAUCAACAGUAUUUUUUGAACAGAAGACGUCAGCCAUCACGUGGAUUUUCAUCCUUUUUUUUACUGUGACUUACUCGGUGAGUGCACCUUUAUUUUGCUCAAUUUACACAAAAUACACAUUUGUGAUUGCACAUAGGCUAACUGGAUGCUGAUAUUGUAACUUUUUUACAUCUAUUUUAGUGCUAAAUCUGUCAAUGUGCAAACUGCAUCUGCAUUUAGUGUAACUGGGAAUCUGACACAGAUAUUUCCUGAUUACACGGUAAGUCAGAAUAUGAUAAUUAAAAAGGAUAUAGGUUAUAAGCUUAUCUACAAAGUCAGUUUUUAAACAUAUGUAGCAACAAAGUAGUAUUGAUUUAUGUAGCAUGAUGAAAAGAUUGUCAUCUCAUUGCUAAUUUUAGCUUUAGCUUUCAAUAGCUACCUAAUAUGGCUUCAAUGUAGGCUUUGAUAAAACAUUUACUGUAAAAUUUUUACUGUAGUUGGUUUGUAUUGUAAUGCUACUUCGUCGAGUACAAUUGGCUAAUCACCACCAUAAACUGUUUUAUAUGUCCAUUUCAGUGCUGAACCUGUGAACAUGCUAACUGCAUCAUAGAGUGGAGCUGGAUUUCUGAUACAGAUAUUGAUUACUGAUUACAAGGCAUCUUCUACUGUACCUGAUGUAGAAAAGACCCUUGAACUACCUGCAAUUCCUUGACUGAUACUUUUUGGAGAAAAACCAGGAAGCUACAUUCAUAAAUGGAUGAUCAGUUUUGAGGGGCAAAUAAUCUGUGAGAGCAUCCAGCCAAGUUUUCUGUCUGGUAAAGCUGCUGUGUUUUUAACUUACGACAUUUUCAAUGUGGAGAACCAAGCGGAGGCUGCAUGGACAUUGGAAUUAAUUCAGAGGUUAGACGCUUAGAUUCAUAUAUUUAUUUCUCUUCACAUUAUUAUCAUAUAAACUUUAACCCACACUAAUUCUGAAUGUAUGCAUUUUUUCAGAAGCUUCAUGGGUAAACCCUGAAAAGGGGCUCCAAGAGUGGACACAUCCUAUCGAAGGGAAUGGGAAAGGUCACCCACAAAAAGAAUUGUCAACACUAAGGUUGCCAGUUUACUUAAAGAAGCUAAUGGACUUUGAGUGGGAUGUCAUAUAAGUGACACCACACACACACACACACACACACACACACACACACACACACACACACACACACACACACACACACACACCUUACACAUCCUCUUCACUAAUGGCACUCAUUUUAUUGUGUUAGUCGCAUACUUUUUUCAGAUGUUUGAUCUUGAAUACCUAAACUGU